UUUCCGUAGGUGAACCUGCGGAAGGAUCAUUACCGAAUUUAAUUCCGGGGUUGUAGCUGGCCAUUAUUUUGGCAUGUGCACGCCCUGGUAAUCCAAAUCAUUUAUACCUCUGUGCACUAUUAUGUGGGAUUGAUGAGGCUUUGGUGCUUGCGCCAAUGGCAUUAUCAUUCUCAUGUUUCACAUACACUCUUUAGUAUAGAAUGUUAUUGCGUUAGACGCAUCUUAAUACAACUUUCAGCAACGGAUCUCUUGGCUCUC
rnacentral:misc_RNA from 1 species